rnacentral:rRNA from 1 species
UACGGGGGGAGCAAGCGUUGUUCGGAUUUACUGGGCGUAAAGGGCGCGUAGGCGGCCAGCACAAGUCAGUUGUGAAAUCUCCGGGCUUAACUCGGAAAGGUCAACUGAUACUGUGCGGCUAGAGUGCAGAAGGGGCAACUGGAAUUCUCGGUGUAGCGGUGAAAUGCGUAGAUAUUGAGAGGAAACACCUGCGGCGAAGGCGGGUUGCUGGGCUGACACUGACGCUGAUGCGCGAAAGCCGGGGGAGCGAACGGG